AGUAACUGCGAGUGAAGCGGGAAAAGCUCAAAUUUAAAAUCUGGCGGUCUUUGGCCGUCCGAGUUGUAAUCUAGAGAAGUAAUGCCCGUGCUGGACCGUAUACAAGUCUCCUGGGAUGGAGCAUCAUAGAGGGUGAGAAUCCCGUCUCUGAUACGGACUACCAGUGCAUUGUGGUAUGCUCUCAACGAGUCGAGUUGUUUGGGAAUGCAGCUCAAAAUGGGUGGUAAAUUCCAUCUAAAGCUAAAUAUUGGCGAGAGACCGAUAGCGAACAAGUACCGUGAGGGAAAGAUGAAAAGAACUUUGGAAAGAGAGUUAAACAGUACGUGAAAUUGCUGAAAGGGAAACGCUUGAAGUCAGUCGCGUCUGCUGGGAAUCAGCCUCACUUUUGUGUGGUGUACUUUCUGGUGGAUGGGUCAGCAUCAAUUUUGACUGCUGGAAAAAGGUGUGGGGAAUGUGGCAGCUCCGGCUGUGUUAUAGCCUCAUGUCGUAUACAGCAGUUGGGAUUGAGGAACGCAGCACGCCGCAAGGCAGGGUCUUCGGACCACUUUCGUGCUUAGGAUGCUGGCAUAAUGGCUUUAAGCGACCCGUCUUGAAACACGGACCAAGGAGUCUAACAUGCCUGCGAGUGUUUGGGUGGAAAACUCGAGCGCGUAAUGAAAGUGAAAGUUGAGAUCCCUGUCGUGGGGAGCAUCGACGCCCGGACCAGAACUUUUGGGACGGAUCCGCGGUAGAGCAUGUAUGUUGGGACCCGAAAGAUGGUGAACUAUGCCUGAAUAGGGUGAAGCCAGAGGAAACUCUGGUGGAGGCUCGUAGCGGUUCUGACGUGCAAAUCGAUCGUC
rnacentral:rRNA from 1 species